rnacentral:rRNA from 1 species
GAUGAACGCUGGCGGUGUGCCUAAUACAUGCAAGUCGAACGGGCUCUUCGGAGCUAGUGGCGGACGGGUGAGUAACACGUUGGUACCUACCCUCUAGUGGGGAAGUAACUGGCCGAAAGGUACGGCUAAUACCGCAUAAUACCGCAAGGUUAAAGACAGUAAUGCGCUAGAGGAGGGGCCUGCGUCCGAUUAGCUAGUUGGUAGUGUAAUGGACUACCAAGGCGACGAUCGGUAGCUGGANCGAGAGGUUGACCAGCCACACUGGGACUGAGAUACGG